UGCGCGUCUGGCUGCUGCGCGCGAGCCGGUCGGGCGCGCUGUCACCCCUCGCACAGCUCCGGGGGCUCGUGCCCAGCCCGCGGGGUCGCGGGGCGCAACCCCAGCCGUGCAGGAAAGCGGCCGCCAGGGUGGCGGUCCCGGAGGCGAAGCGCGCCCCUAGCAGCCUCUACGUGGAGUUCUCAUUUCUAAAGUGAAUUUAAAAAAAAAAAAAAUUGUCAAUGAUCUAGGUAGGGGUCCGGCUUCUUACCAGACCGAAAGGUCACAUUUAAAAGAGGUGAAGUUUCUCUGCUCCAGCUUCGGUCGCUAGUGCAGCGAUUAAUGGUUGGAAAAGUUAUCUGCACGCUCUGGCACCGCGGGGUUUGCUAGAAAGCUCCCCGCUUUCGCCUGCCCACUUCCUCCACUGCCCUCCGCCUCUUCCCAAAGUAAUGCUCAGCAGUCCUCGCUCCAGGUAGAGAGAGGCCGUGGGCGGGUGCGGUCGGGGCAGAGAGGAGGGAGAGGCGGUGAGAUGAAUAGCCACUUCCCCGAGGCCCUACACAACUCCAGAAGCCCAGCGUCUGAAUUUGGGGAGCCCGGGUCUAGAGGCUCAACCUGUGCCUCUCUGAGCUGAGGGACUGCAGGGGUGUCGCCCACGCAGAUCUAGCUGCAUGACAACGCCGCCCCCUGCUGGUGCCCUGCGAAGCUGAGUCCCCAAAAAUGGAGAAACCGGAGGCCAGGCUUCCACAGCGCACAGCCUGGGCCUAGGCGUAACUAAUUGGGUUGAGGGAGUAAAGGACCCCUGGACUCCUACACUGUUGUCAUAAUCCCUGCCGGUUCCUCUUAGGACUUGUCCAAUCAUGGACGCUGCCUAGUAACACAUUUUAUAUAUAUGAAAUUGUGCGUGUGUGUUUGGGUGUGUGUGUGUGUGUGUGUGUGUGUGUGUGUGAGAGAGAGAGAGAGAGAGAGAGAGAGAGAGAGAGAGAGAGAGAGAGAGAGAGUAUCUUACUGUGGACAUCAGACUGGCCUCAAAUUCAGCAUCCCCCUGAGUGAUAGAUAUACCGAGUUGAUCCAUUACCUCCAACCUGAGCCCUUUCCACACACUUCAUAGCCUUCAGGUCAAGAAGAAGGCGUUCCAUGCCAAGGCUAGUGGGUUGGAAACUAAAGAAUUAAGAGGUGACAAAAGUCUCCCAAAUUCACAACCAGUAAGCUCUGCGGUGAGGCCUUGAACCCUACCAUCCAUCUAACUGUGAAUGCUGUUUAGUCUUUAUUGCCUGAAUGAGAUGUCCCUAGCUUAGUACUUCCCUCUCAGAGGAAACUGAGGCAAGAACUGUGGGGAGGGGGCCAGUGAGAAAGAAGGGUACCAUGAAUAAAGCUCUAUGAGAGAGUGUUUACCUAGCUCCGAAUUUAAUUUGCAUCAGUACACACACACACACACACACACACACACACACACACACGGGGGAGGGGAAGAGAAAAAUGAAAUAAUAAAAAUCUCUUCGAUAGGGUAUCAGGAAAUAUUUUCAAAGGCCGAGAACAACUUCGCGUUUUCUUAGUAUAACGUCGAAGUGGCCGUUCCUAUAUUAAAGACACUGCAUUGAAGAAGAAGAAAAGAAAAGAAAAGAAAAAAAAAAGCAGUAGUCCCACCCUACUCUCAUUGCUUUUCACUGCAUUUUACGUUUCUAUCAAAAAGACUGAGCAAAACAAAGCCCAAGCUAGAGCAGCCUGUGAACAAGUGAGUCCGUUGCUCACACCUGGGAUGUGUCCUGUGUGGGAUCUUCAACGUGUUCAGAGAGCUGCGGGCGGAUCCGGAGGGCCCAGCCCGAGCGCCCAUUGGACCAGCAGUCUCUGCAUCCUGUUCUCUAGGUGGGGACCCUUUUCUCAACAGUGGCCACACUUCUCUGCACAGACUCACCUGAGAAGCAGGGGCAGAUUGCAGAGGGCCCGCUUUGUCAUACCACCCUGGCCAGGCCACUGGUGGGGAACACCCCUUUUCCUCUGAGCUGUCAGUUCUUUGUGGAUAACACUUCCUUAAUAGCAGAGCGUUCCCCGUUGCCAGUCAUAAACUGGACCCUCCUGCCUGCCUCCCGCACUGGGACAUCUGUGGCAACUCGCUCUUGGCAGUGCCAUGGAAGGCGACUGAAUUAUUGGAUUAAUAUAUGCCUGCUGCAUAAGGCUACAUGUUACACACUGCUGAGUGGAAGCAGAGGUUCUGCAUUGCUCCUCUCCUGUCGUCAAACUGAGGUAAUGUUUAUAUGCGGGAAACUUGCUUUAGCUUCUGGGCUUAUUUGCUAAUUUGCUUUUCCUCUUUAAAAUGGAAAAAAAAAUAGAAGAAGAAGAAAACCAGUGGUAAUGUGCUAUGAGAUGAUAAGGUUAAGGCCACACACCACGGGGGGCUGGAGAAGUGGCUCAGUAUUCAACAGCGCCCACCGCUCUUGCAGAGGACCCCCUCACACUGCCGGUUCAGUUCAUUAUACUCAUACAGCCCACAGCACCUGUAACUCCAGCUCCAAGAGCUCCAAAAGCCUCCCCAGGGAACACCCCCACCCCCACAGGCACACACACAGACAGUCAGAGACAGAGAGAGACAGAGAAGGUACUCAUAAUUGAAAAAAUGAAAAUAUUAAAACUACCACAAAACUGAAAUAGUGUAUUUAGACUACUUCUUGAGAAAGCAAAAGAACGUUACCUGAAAUUUCUAAUGAGAGGCCUAAUACAGAUUUUUCAAGAAAAAAAAAUUUCAUUUAUAACUAGUUGUUCUUGUUUGCAACUUAUCGUAAAAAUCCAGACUUAGCACAGUAAGAAAAAGCUCAGUUUUGGCUUUAAUAAUAUUAAAUUUGCUAGUAUGAACCAGACAGCAUGCUAAAUAUUUUAAAUAUGUCGUCUCUUAAACUAAGUUCUCCCCAAAACACAGGUUUGCAUAUUAUACCCCUAUUGUCUGGCUUGGAAAAGUUAAGUGCUGGAAGGCCAAGAUUCUAAACCAGUUGGAAGAGCCCGGCUCCUACCUAUCCAUGUGUGAGGGUCCUUUACGUCUGGAAGUUUCCUGCUCCCUAUGGGGUGGCCUUCUCCCUGUUUUCUGAUUUUCUUUUUGUACUUGAAAUCAGGCUGGAAUUGUACGCUACCUCUUCUUUCCCAGUGCUAGAUGUUCAUUCUGACAUAACAUUGAGGACUUACAUGUUUAAUCGUGACUCAACUGCUAGGAGCCAAACUCCACCGUGAACUUACUGGAGUGAUGGGGAUGGCUCCCUGCAUGCUCAGAAAAUGACCUCCGCAGUCCUGAACAGCUAGCACACUAGCAGCCUCGUGGGGAUAAGAGCCCAUCACGGUGAAGAGACAUGGCAGCCAGCAAGCAUUGGUGGUCAGUACAGGAAGUGAGUGAUCAUAUCUCGAAUCAUGAGCACAAACCAGAAAGAGCAAACUGGAGAGAUAUUGAAAAGAAUUUUCCAGUACUGCCAUUGAUGCUGAUUAUGCCAACGUUUCUUCCUGUUUUGAAAUCUUGUUGGUGAAAUGCUUGCUGUUUCAACCAAUGUGGGUUUGUGGAACCUCCGUUUUAAGGCUGAAGUCUGAAACUUUUGAAUAGCCUCCAGCUCUGUCUAAAAUGGUAGACUCCCUUUGCUUAGCAGGGUUCUCUCUCUGCCUGGUCUUGGUAACCUCAGCUCUUGUGAGGAGCAUCACAUGGCCCAUGGGACAGAUUAUACACCGGAACCUUCCCUGAUGAGAAAACCGGUCCAGCAAGCAUCUGGGGAUUCCUGGAAAUACUCCACCCUGCGAAGGAGAUCUUAGUUUUCAUCAGUGACUUUCAGUUGUACUUGGGAGUUUUCCCCACCCAUAGGAUAAUUAAAUACUGUGUUCUCCGUCUGGUAACAGGGCCCUGAUAUUGCAUGUUAAAGGAGGCUCUGUACCAGUACAUAUACAGAUCCAUGGCACUCCUGACCAGGGCAAAUCAAACACAUUCACCCUUGAAACCCCUCCCACUGUCCAAGGUUUAUAAACCCCUGAUUUCAAAUAAACGAGCUAACUGGGGGCAUGCUGGUGCUGCAUGCUUCCUGCUUCUGGAUACCAUCAGCUUUCCACCAUGGAUGCCUGUGGGUACUUAUUCUGGGGGAGAGAGGGCUUCUAUGCUCCCCAGAGAAUGGCUGCUGAACAGCCAUACUCGGCUGCCAAUUAAAUAAUUUCCCACCUAGGCCACUUUGAGUUUCUGGACCACCCAGGGCAUGACUGCCAGUCAGUCUGCUCCGUGCUUCCGCCCCAUCAGUGCUAGAUAGGGGCUGACCCCCAGAAGAGCAUCCCCUCCCCUCAUUCCACCCCAGUCCUACCUUAGGCCUGCCAGACCUGUCUCUGGUCCCGCAGACCUGGGCCUCACCAGGCCUGUGUCUUGGCGUCAAGCUGACUAGACAUUGGGUUUUGCCCCCGCCUCUGCUGUGCUUAGUACAACAGCUUAACGAAAAGCUGUAACACUUUGGUAUCACCGUAGACUUUAGAAUGCCCGUGCUUCCACUGCCCCCCAUCCCCGCAACCUCAUUCUAAAGAAGCUAGACUGUAACACUCCUGGAAAACCUUUACCAUAACCCCCACCUAUUGCACGGGACUCACCGCAAAGCACUCUGGAUUCUCCUGAGAGAAAGAAAAGCCUGCUCCCAGGAUUGUGCCCAUUUUCUGUUCUCUCUCCAUUGUAGGGAACCAGCAAGAUGGUAUUGAGAACAAUGUCUGGUCCAUGAACUUUAAGGAACGUUUCCCUACAGCUGGAUAGAGAAGGCAUAAGCCCAGGACUUUCACAGAGGACCAGAUUGGGAGAGCACUUUUCAGGCUCAUAGACUAUCCAACUGUGCAUCCAUAGCUGGAGGCCAAACUAUUGCUCAUGAGCAGAGGGCAACAAAGGUGGGAGGGAGAAGCACAGACUACCCAGGUUCUUGCAAGGGAUCAAGUCUGUAGGGCAUCAAACUUGGUCUCUGAGGACUUCUCUCUUAAGGCUUUCAUCAUGAGGUUCUUGUAAAGUUACUUUUCUAAGUUCUACCUGAGCUCAAAGGCAGCUACAGUCCGAAUCUCCAUCUCUCCCUGUGUGCUGGGCAGGAGUACACAGAUAAUCUGCUAGUAGAUCGGGAACUGCUGGGACACAGAAUGUAACUUUUGAUCAUUCCAACAAAAGCACUUAAGGCCCUUCCAACAGUACUGUCCUUGUGCAAAGCUAGAAAAUUACCCAUGACCUUCUUGUCAGGAAGAGCCUCCAAAGCUCUAAGAAUGUGCAUACUCUCUAAGUUAUGAAUCAAAAAAAAAAAAAAGUAGGUGAAUAGAACCUCCACUGUGGAAGCUAGCUCUUCCAACAAUCUCAGACCACUGCCUUUCUUGGAAGGUUUUGUAGCUUUGAUUACUAUGACUACUACACCUUUUAGGACCUGGUAGUCUCUAAGUCUAUCUGUGUAACUAAACUCUACCUUUCUUCAUCCAUCUCAGCAAACUGGUGAUAUGUAGAAUGUUUCAAAAUAAAAAUGCC